rnacentral:rRNA from 1 species
GAUGAACGCUGGCGGCGUGCCUAAUACAUGCAAGUCGAGCGAACAGACGAGGAGCUUGCUCCUCUGACGUUAGCGGCGGACGGGUGAGUAACACGUGGAUAACCUACCUAUAAGACUGGGAUAACUUCGGGAAACCGGAGCUAAUACCGGAUAAUAUAUUGAACCGCAUGGGUCAAUAGUGAAAGACGGUUUUGCGGUCACUUAUAGAUGGAUCCGCGCCGCAUUAGCUAGUUGGUAAGGUAACGGCUUACCAAGGCAACGAUGCGUAGCCGACCUGAGAGGGUGAUAGGCCACCCUGGAACUGGGACACGGUCCAGACUCCUACGGGAGGCAGCAGUAGGGAAUCUUCCGCAAUGGGCGAAAGCCUGACGGAGCAACGCCGCGUGAAUGAUGAAGGUCUUCGGAUCGUAAAACUCUGUUAUUAGGGAAGAACAAAUGUGUAAGUAACUAUGCACGUCUUGACGGUACCUAAUCAGAAAGCCACGGCUAACUACGUG